UUUCAAUUUCAAUGUGUUUAGGAAACAAUGUAUCGGCCUGAGUUCCGUGAUGCCGACGGGAAAAUGAUCAACGGAGAUUGUCAUAACAAAAUGUGACAGUGGAUGCUGAGUACAGGAAUGGAGAGCAACUGGACUGGAGGUAAGCCUGUUCAAGGCUCCAGGGAGAACAUCUGAUAAACCUGAGUUGAGCUGGGAACUUAUGAAUAUCCAGCCUCUCCCUGUAAACCUCUAAAAGUCCUGACCACUUAGAAAAAAUCUCAAACCUUCCGCUGAAUCAAAAAUUUGCAUUUGUCUAGACGCCAAAAUAGA